UUUUAUGGAGAGUUUGAUCCUGGCUCAGGAUGAACGCCGGCCGCGUGCCUAAUACAUGCAAGUCGAGCGAACGGACGAGAAGCUUGCUUCUCUGAUGUUAGCGGCGGACGGGCGAGGAAAACGUGGAUAACCUAACUAUAAGACUGGGUUAAAUUCGGGAAACCGGAGGUAAAACCGGUUAAUAUUUUGAACCGCAUGGU
rnacentral:rRNA from 1 species